GACGUAGGGCGCGAGCGUUGUCCGGAUUUAUUGGGCGUAAAGAGCUCGUAGGCGGCUCGUUGCGUCGGCUGUGAAAACCCGCAGCUCAACUGUGGGCUUGCAGCUGAUACGGGCGGGCUGGAGUUCGGUAGGGGAGACUGGAAUUCCUGGUGUAGCGGUGAAAUGCGUAGAUAUCGCUUGGAACGCCAAAGGUGAAGACAGGCAACUGGGAGUGCGCCGACGCUGAGACGCGAAAGCCAGGGGAGCGAACGGG
rnacentral:rRNA from 1 species